UGGGGAAUCUUGGACAAUGUGCGCAAGCCUGAUCCAGCCAUGCCGCGUGAGUGAUGAAGGCCCUAGGGUUGUAAAGCUCUUUCACCGGUGAAGAUAAUGACGGUAACCGGAGAAGAAGCCCUGGCUAACUUCGUGCCAGCAGCCGCGGUAAUACGAAGGGGGCUAGCGUUGUUCGGAUUUACUGGGCGUAAAGCGCACGUAGGCGGACUAUUAAGUCAGGGGUGAAAUCCCGGGGCUCAACCCCGGAACUGCCUUUGAUACUGGUAGUCUUGUGUUCGAGAGAGGUGAGUGAAAUUCCGAGUGGAGAGGUGAAAUUCGUAGAUAUUCGGAGGAACACCAGUGGCGAAGGCGGCUCACUGGCUCGAUACUGACGCUGAGGUGCGAAAGCGUGGGGAGCAAACAGG
rnacentral:rRNA from 1 species